GGGUGAUGAUGUAGCUGACCUAUCAUGGAGGAGCAGGCUGAUGAUGUAGCUGACCUAUCAUGGAGGAGCAGGGUGAUGAUGUAGCUGACCUAUCAUGGAGGAGCAGGGAGAUGAUGUAGCUGACCUAUCAUGGAGGAGCAGGAUGAUGAUGUAGCUGACCUAUCAUGGAGGAGCAGGCUGAUGAUGUAGCUGACCUAUCAUGGAGGAGCAGGGUGAUGAUGUAGCUGACCUAUCAUGGAGGAGAAGGAUGAUGAUGUAGCUGACCUAUCAUGGAGGAGCAGGAUGAUGAUGUAACUGACCUAUCAUGGAGGAGCAGGGGUGAUGAUGUAGCUGACCUAUCAUGGAGGAGCAGGAUGAUGAUGUAGCUGACCUAUCAUGGAGGAGCAGGAUGAUGAUGUAGCUGACCUAUCAUGGAGGAG
rnacentral:lncRNA from 1 species